CAGCAGCCGCGGGAAUACGAAGGGGGCUAGCGUUGUUCGGAUUUACUGGGCGUAAAGGGUGCGUAGGCGGACUGAUAAGUCAGGGGUGAAAUCCCAAGGCUCAACCUUGGAACUGCCUUUGAUACUGUUAGUCUUGAGUUCGAGAGAGGUGAGUGGAACUGCGAGUGUAGAGGUGAAAUUCGUAGAUAUUCGCAAGAACACCAAUGGCGGAGGCGGCUCACUGGCUCGAAACUGACGCUGAGGCACGAAGCGUGGGGAGCAAACAGGAUUAGAUACCCCAGUAGUCCCUGUCUCUUAUACC
rnacentral:rRNA from 1 species